UAGUUCGCAAAUCGCAUUGGAGCCCAUACCAUCCCUCCACGGAUUUUGGAGUUGUUACCAUCUAUUUUUUUUUUAAUGUGUCCCGUUUCUUGGAAAAGAAAAAGUGAUAAAAAAGGAAGGGGAAGUAAGUUAAGUGAUUGUGGAUUUUGUGCGCGCUGUGAUAUUUGCCUCUGUCAUUGGGGUCUUUGAACCCCCGCCCACAGAAUAACCGAAAGCGGUAUCAUUUCGUUUUUUGGGCUUCGUGCAACUCCAAAAAAGUGUGACGGCGUCUGUUGUCCAUUAUCGCGAGAAGCUUUUCGCGUUGCCCGAUAACCGAUAAGUGCAGUAAACCCACCACCCCCCUCGCCGCCAAAGGGCAAUCAGUUAUUGGCCCGCUGCCGCCGCCGCCGCUCUAAUGAACGUUGAACUGCAAAUUGCAAAAGCGUACGAAAAUAACAAACAAAUGCGAAAUUCGCUCUCUAGCGGGACAUCCGCGUCGCUCGCACACAUACAUACAUGCGUACACAAUAAUGAGUGUAAUAAAUGGGUGCAUUCACCUCUGAAAUGGAAUAUGUAUGCGCAUCUCUAUCUGGAUCUGGUGACUGUCUAUCGGGAGAUCACUCACUUGGCGGAAAUAAGUUCAUAAUACUUUCUGUAUUGGCAAUAUCGGGUUUUUUUCUAACUAAGAGGAUCCGAAUGGUGAAGGAGGAGGGAAAAGAUGUGCAGUUUGUGGUAUUUCAACCAGGAAUCUUUUCCGCGUCGGCCACUGAUCCAUUGAUCACGUCUGGAACGGCUGCAGAUCGUAGCAGUUGGCAGAUCGAAGAUUACUCAUGCAAAGAUUGGGAAUGGAGCGGGAAUGGAGCAUCUCCGGUGCGGAAGUGGCGCACGUCGCUCUCCGGGGCACCGAGCUGGAUUUAGUCAUGCAUCUGGCGGCAUGCACGGCGAAGACUCUCUUCCGGUCUUUGCAUUCUGCAGUCUACAUUCUGCUAGAUGCUCACUGCACUCUAUUAGCCAAGAUUUGUCUUGGUCUCUUUGUGGCGGCAGACCGUACAUUCAACGUACUUAAAUCACGCGGCGUUCAAUCGGCAUUCGAGUUAUGCAACAUUCUCGGAAGCGAGCGCACCCAGCGACCUUUUAAGCGCGUCUGCCCCGCUUCAAGUCACCACUGCCACACCGGAGCUGACCGCGGUAGCACUCAAGGUUCCACAAAAAGACAUAGGAAUCGGAAUAGGAAUACUAAGGAUACCAGCAGCCCAAUCAGAUGAGCCCAAGGUAACGACGACAUAUUGUUUCCAGUCGAAAUCCAAGUCAUUUGAAGAAGAGUGCCCAUCAUGACGCACUGCCUCUGGUCGACGAUGCUGGCCGUCCUGGCCCUGCUUUCCAUGGCGACCAGUCGCUCGGUGCGCCAGGUGCCAAGUGCAUAUUCGCAUCCGCCCGUGCUGCCCGGCGGAUACUACGGACAGCCGGCCUACGCUUACCCCCCGCCCUACGGCUAUGGAUACCAGGCACCACCCCCACCGCCACCCGUCUACAGCCCUUAUUACGACAACGUUUUCGGAGUCUACAAGAGCUACCCCGGCGGCGGAUAUCCCGUGCGGUUUGAUUAUAACAAUCGUUGCUCUCGGAACUACAUUGGCAUCAAGCCCCAUCCGGAUCAGCAGCAGUACUACUAUGUCUGUAAGCCGAACUGUGUGAUUUUUAGCAAAUGUCGCGACCUUGAGAGUUUCAAUUCGAGCAGUGGACGCUGCGGGCAACACAUUCCCCAGCACAGGCUGGACCACAGUCCGCCGCAGUGCCAGAAGGAGGGCCGCUUUCCACAUCCCCACGACUGCAAGGUGUACUACAGGUGCGACAAAAACCGGACGCAGCCCUGGCUCUUCGCCUGUCCAUCGGGCACCAUUUUCUCGCCGAUAGAGCGCAAGUGCCUGCCCGGUGACCAGUGUCCCUCGACGGAGAUAUCGAAUAGUGGCAGCUACAUCCCACAGAACUGCGAGCUCAAGUUCCCCGAAUGCGCCGGCGAGGGCACCUUCCGCUCGCCGACGGACUGCGCCCUCUACUACACAUGUCGAUUGCAAGACAGCGGUACCUACCUGCAGACGCGUUUCAAAUGCCCCGGCAGCAAUAGUUUUGAUACCGAGCGGAAGCUGUGUCGUCCGCGCAACGAAGUCGACUGCUUUGACUAUGUCCCGGCACCACAAUUGCCGGUACCCUAUGCUCCACAGCCAUACUAUCCACCCUAUCAAGCGCCACCUCUCUUUGAGGAGGACGACUACGAUACAGAUGCCAGGGAAGAGCAGCCGGGAGGGUUUGAAAGACCCUCGGUAAAUGUGGUUAUUGUGCCCACAAAGACCACGCCAACGACCACAGCCACAACGGAGCGCACCACUGCCUAUUACAAAUACGACAAUUAUCCCUCAUAUGAUUAUUCCUCACAUCAUAACAAAAAAGAAGAACCGUCAGCAGAAAGCCAAAAGGUUAAGAAUGCGGAAGUCUUAGGCGGACCUAAGUUGUCGGAGCACGUUGUAGUCCUGCCCACUACACCGGCGACUACGACUACCAAGGAAACCACCAAGUAUCAACACAAAAGAUACACCUAUGCUACUGAGAGUACGAAAAUCGAACCUGCAUUAAGUGGCUUGCACCUUUCGGAAAAUAUUGUCAUUCUGCCCACUACGACCACCACGACUACGCCAAAACCAACAGCUCCGACUUGCCCCACCUUACUAACGCCAAGUACAACAGUCACGAUUCCGAAAACAACUACGACUAAAACCACCACUCAGAGACCAAAGCCAACGACUCAGGAAACCUCGACAGUUACCGAAAAAACUACCACACCGACUCCGAAAACUACUUUAGUGACAACAACGACUCGGAAACGAAGCACGACCACUCACAAAUCGUCACCAGUUACUAAAACCACAAAAAAGGCAACAACAAUUACUCCUAAAACCACAACAAGUACAGAAAAACCCACCACAUUGAAAACUACAACAGUGAAAACAACUACUGAUAAACCAACAACGACUACGCAGAAAACGUCAACAGUUGCUUCUACCACCAAAGAAACAACAGAAAGUUCACCUAAGCCUACAACAAGUACCGAAACACCAACCACGACUACUAUUAAAGUCUCUACAGUAACUACGACUACACAAAAACCAAAAACUACUACUCCUAAUCCCACAACAACCACACAGGAAACCACAACGACGACUCAGAAGUCAACUAGUGUGACUACCACUACGCGAAAGCCUACAACUACUUCUCAGCAAACCUCAACUAGCAAGAAAACAACAACGAAUACUCCGAAACCUACAACAACUACCCUGAAAACUACAACGAGGGAUUCGAGCACAACUGAAGUGACAUCCACUACCAAGAAACCAACCACGACUACUCAGAAAAUCUCUACAAUAAAUACGACACAGAAAGCAACAACGACAACCCAAAAGCCAACUACAGUGACAACCACUACUAAAAAACCAAUAACGACAACUCAGAAAACGUCAACAGUUACUACCACCACCGAAAAGUCCACAGAACGUUCUCCUGAUCCCACAACGAGUACGGAAAAACCUACCACUACUACUCAAAAAUCCUCUACAAUAACUACGACUACUCAAAAACCUACUUCAACGACCCAGAAAGCAACAACGACAACCCAAAAGCCAACUACAGUGAUAAACACUACUAAAAAACCAAUAACGACAACUCGGAAAAGGUCAACAGUUACUACCACCACCGAAAAGUCCACAGAAAGUUCUCCUAAACCCACAACGAGUACGGAAAAACCUACCACUACUACUCAAAAAACCUCUACAAUAACUACGACCACCCAAAAACCUACGACUACUACACCUAAUCCUACUUCAACGACCCAGACAACAACAACGACAACAGCAAAGCCAACUUCAGUGACAACCACUACUCAGAAACCAACAACGACAACUCCGAAAACGUCAACAGUUAAUACUACCACCCAAAAAACAACAGAAAGCUCUCCUAAGCCGACAACGAGUACCGAAAAACCAACAACGACUACUCAGAAAAGCUCUACAGUAACUACAACCACUGAAGAACCGACAACUUCUACGCCUAAACCUACAACGACUACUCAGAAACCUAUAACAACGUCCAAGGAAACAACAACGACGACUUUAAAGCCAACAACUGUGACAACCACUACUCAAAAGCCAACAACGACCACUCCGAAAACGUCAACAGUUACUACUACCACCCAAAAAACAACAGAAAGUUCUCCUAAGCCGACAACGAGUACCGAAAAACCAACAACGACUACUCAGAAAAGCUCUACAGUAACUACAACCACUGAAGAACCGACAACUUCUACGCCUAAACCUACAACGACUACUCAGAAACCUAUAACAACGACCAAGGAAACAACAACGACGACUCUGAAGCCAACUACUCUGACAACCACUACUCAAAAACCAACAACGACCCCUCCGAAAACGUCAACAGUUACUACUACCACCCAAAAAACAACAGAAAGUACUCCUAAGCCGACAACGAGUACCGAAAAACCAACAACGACUACUCAAAAACCGACAACUAGUACUCCAAAACCUACAACAACGACGACUCCGAAACCAACUACUGUGACAACCACUACGCAGAAACCAAUAACGACCACUCCGAAAACGUCAACAGUUACUACCUCCACCACAAAAACCACAAGUACCGAAAAACCUACCACUACUAUUUUAAUAGUCUCUAGUACGACCUCUCAAAAACCAACAACAUCUACUCCGAAACCUACAACAACGCCAACCACGCCAACGACAACUACUGUGACAACCACCAGUCAAAAGUCAACAACGACCACUCCGAAAACCUCUACAGUAACAACGACCUCACCAAAACCAAGCACAAGUACACUAAAACCGACCACUACUACUGAAAAAUCGACAUCAGUUACUGCAACAAGCACAAGUAUCGCGACCACGGAGAAUCCAACAACCAUUCCUGCGCAAAACUCCACCACCACGACUGAGCUGACCACUGUCACGCGACCGCACUGUCCCGAACCCGACUCCACCUCAGUGUCCAGCCCCGGGGACUAUCCCACCGAGAAGGUGCCGCAGCUCAUCGUUAAGGUGUACGAGCCCAUCGACCUGAAGAUCGUCUUCUGCCCGAAGUCCUGCGACCAGGACCACGACCACAAAUACGCUUCGACACUCUUAGAAUCCGAAAUGACCCCAAAGGCAGCCGCAGGAUGCGGUGGCACAUGGCCGCCUCCUCCUUCUGGCAUUCGCAUCUCCCACCUGGGCAGCAAUUAGCAUUAACACAAACGGCUUGACUGCAGUUGGUGAGCAAACAAAGCGCUAGUCAGGUCGAGGCGAAUGACUUGUAUAUUGGGCCACUCCAAGGGGCAGGAACUGCCUGCUGCUACUCCUACUGCAUCUACUACGCCUACACUCGCCAUGCGGCAUGCGGCGCAAUUUGCGGCCCAGUGACAACAUCGCUCGGCCGACUGGACUGGAGCACCGCACCGGUCAGGGACCGGGACUCCGGACUCUGGACUCCGGACAUGGACAUGGCCCAGGACAGGAGAGGACCAGGACAGAGGCCAUCAUCAGCGGCAGAAACUCGCCGGCAGUGGGGUGCGCGCGAAAUAACCAUUCUGAGGAAUUCAGCAUGCGACAAAAAAUGUUUGACGAAGAUUUCGAAGAAUGGAACUGACAUGUUUAAUCUAUUGCAACAUGCAUUGAUAAUUGCCUGCAAAAACAGAUUGUUUCCAGUGCUCGGUUAUGGACGGGCCAGAUCGGAAUGAACUUGAAGUAAAAGCCAGAAACGCACUAAUGUCCUUCGACGACUGGACUGGCAAAUAAAAAGUUUGCCGCUACAGUGCCCCCACCUCCGCUGCGGUGGUCUCAUGUGCGCGGCGACAAAGUUUUUAUUCCUUUGUUUAGAAUAAGCACAAGUGCGCACGUGUUCCGUUUGAGUCCGCUUUAGUGCAGCAGGGGCGGUUUGGAGGCUGGGUGGCUCGGAGGAGGCUGGGAAUGGGUCUGCGCCUGCGAUGCCGUUAAAUUUUAAUGCGCCCGUAUCGAUAUGCGUGCAUGGACCGCGCCCGCGCCAGCGGAAUCUAUAAAAGCCAAACUCGCGUGUCACCAUCGCCACCUCCAUCCGGCGAUUCCUACUCCCUCUAAUGCCGCCUGGUUGCCGGUGGUAGCUGCCGGUCGUGAUAAGGCAAUUGGCAUCUGGAGGUUAGUUGCUGGGCCAACGAGGCAGGCAGCUGCACUCGCCUAUGAAUAUCCCAUGAGCUCACGCACUCCAACAUUUGCUCGUACUUUGCAUAAAUUCGCAAUGUCGCGACUUCUAAUCAAUAGCAUCGAGCCGGGGGAACCGAAGUGGAGUGGAGAAUUUGGAGGAAAGAAAAGCCCAGCCGUCACCGAAACCAUAAGGAUGAAAUAAAAACAUUGAUUUCAGUCAACUAGCAAGGAAAACAAAAGUACAGUUUAAUUACAAAAUAUAUUAGUUAUUAUGUUUAAUCACUUGUUUCACUAAUUUUAUAAACAUUAAUUUUAAAGUGUA